UAUGACGGCUGUACGCGGGAGGUCUUCGGGCCUGCCGGGUUAACCAUGCACCGGUCUUUCCACCCCGUGUACAGCUGUCACCCUA
rnacentral:antisense_RNA from 17 species